rnacentral:rRNA from 1 species
AUUCCAGCUCCAAUAGCGUAUAUUAAAGUUGUUGCAGUUAAAAAGCUCGUAGUUGGAUUUCUGGUAGAAGUAGCGACCUUGGGUCUUUGACCUAUGAAGUUGCUAUCUUCAACCAUCCUUGAAGAGAUUUAGUUUGGCAUUAAGUUGUCGAACUAAAGAUAUUCAUCUUUUACUGUGAAAAAAUCAGAACGUUCAAAGUAAGCAUUUAGCUUUGAAUGUAUUAGCAUGGAAUAAUGAAAUAGGACUUAGGUACUACUUUGUUGGUUUAUGCACCUAGGUAAUGAUUAAUAGGGAUAGUUGGGGGUAUUCGUAUUCCAAUGUUAGAGGUGAAAUUCUUGGAUUUUUGGAAGACGAACAACUGCGAAAGCAUUUACCAAGGAUGUUUUCAUUG